rnacentral:piRNA from 1 species
UGGUGCAAACUAUUUUAAAAACUCCAGC